UGCGAGACCGAUAGCGAACAAGUACCGUGAGGGAAAGAUGAAAAGAACUUUGAAAAGAGAGUUAAAGAGUACCUGAAACUGCUGAAAGGGAAGCGAAUCGUAUCCAGUGUCUAUAAUCUGCGGCAUAUUUCAUUGGCGGCGGUGCGCGUGCUUUUGCGUCGGAAGCGGCUUUUGUUGCUCUGUGCUUUUGCUGUGCGUGGUGUUGCUGGUGCCCUGUGUUGCGGUGGGACGUCAGAGUCAGUUUGUAUGCUGCGGGAAAUGGCUGCCGAGGAGGUAGGUCGAGAUUUCGGUCUUGGCUGUUAUAUCUUGGUGGUUUGUUGUCGUGGUUGAGACUGAGGUGCCUACAAUGUGCUUUUGAGUGUACCGGGUUCUCAUUUGGUGGACUGUUUGGAUAGCUUGCUAUGCUUGUGAUUUUUUCAUCGGGUGAUUGAGUCUGGUGGUAACUUGUUGCUGUUCGGGACUUUGAA
rnacentral:rRNA from 2 species